GUUUACAUGUGUCCACGUGUGUAACUGAUGACAUGUGAAAUAUUGGAAGUAGCUGCCUUUGUUAGAAAGGAUUAGCAGACUGUGUGUGUUGUCUUCCUGCUGACUCAAACCCUACAGGUUAACACCAGGCUCACUCCAGGGGAAGGGCUAACACCAGGCUAACACCAGGCUAACACCAGGCUAACACCAGGCUAACACCAGGCUAACACCAGGCUAACACCAGGCUAACUCCAGGUGAAGGGCUAACAUCAGGCUAACACCAGGCUCACUCCAGGGGAAGGGCUAACACCAGGCUAACACCAGGCUAACACCAGGCUAACACCAGGCUCACUCCAGGGGAAGGGCUAACACCAGGCUAACAACAGGCUAACACCAGGCUCACUCCAGGGGAAAGGCUAACAUCAGGCUAACAACAGGUUAACACCAGGCUCACUCCAGGGGAAAGGCUAACAACAGGUUAACACCAGGGUCACUCCAGGGGGUUAACAUCAGGCUAACAACAGGGGAAAGGUUAACAUCAGGCUCACUCCAGGGGAAAGGCUAACAUCAGGUUAACACCAGGCUCACUCCAGGGGAAAGGCUAACAUCAGGCUAACACCAGGGGAAAGGUUAACAUCAAGCUAACAACAGGUUAACACCAGGCUCACUCCAGGGGAAGGGUUAACAUCAGGCUAACAACAGGGGAAAGGUUAACAUCAGGCUCACUCCAGGGGAAAGGCUAACAUCAGGUUAAUACCAGGCUCACUCCAGGGGAAAGGCUAACAUCAGGUUAACACCAGGCUCACUCCAGGGGAAAGGCUAACAUCAGGCUAACACCAGGGAAAUGUUAACAUCAGGCUAACAACAGGUUAACACCAGGCUCACUCCAGGGGAAAGGCUAACAUCAGGUUAACACCAGGUUAACACCAGGCUCACUCCAGGGGAAAGGCUAACAUCAGGCUAACACUAGGGGAAAUGUUAACAUCAGGCUAACAACAGGUUAACACCAGGCUCACUCCAGGGGAAAGGCUAACAUCAGGCUAACAUCAGGCUCACUCCAGGGGAAAGGCUAACAUCAGGUUAACUCCAGGGGAAAGGCUAACAUCAGGCUAACAUCAGGCUAACACCAGGCUAACACCAGGGGAAAGGCUAACAUCAGGCUAACACCAGGCUCACUCCAGGGGUAAGGCUAACAUCAGGCUAACACCAGGCUAACACCAGGCUCACUCCAGGGGUAAGGC